AAAAGAAAACUGAGGCAUCAGCAGAAGAGACUCACCUAAGCUUGUCCCUGACCACCCGCGCACCUCAUAGUUUGGGACGGAAUUGAGAUCACAGAACAGGGUUCCUUUGUCUUUUGUUAAAUCUGUAACAUUGGAUUGAUGUGUCUAAGGUUAACUAUUGGAUGUAAUAAUAAUGAUAUUAAAAACUGACCUUAAGGGCACAAUUUAUUAAAGUUUCCAAGUCACUUACUUGGAAGUCAAGUCAAAUAUAGCACUAACUUGUCAGUGUAACAAUAGAAUACCCAAAGUGAUGGCCAACAUUCCCAUUACACGUCUGACAUCUUGGCUAACAGUCAUAGCCCUGGAACUCUUCUCCCUAGGCCAGCCCCAUUUAAAAAAUCCAUUAAUCCCAGUGCUUUGAGAGGCCAAGGCAGGAAUAUUGCUUGAGGCCAGGAGUUUGAGACCUGCUAGGACAACAUAGUGAGACUCCAUCUCUACAAAAAUAAAAUAAAAUAAUUAGCCAGGUAUGGUGGCACACACCUAUAGUCCUAGCUAAUUAGGAGACUGAGGCAGGAAGAUUGCCUGAGCCUGUGAGUUUGAGGCUACAGUGAGCUACGAUCAUGUCAUUGCACUCUACCCUGGGUGACAAAGCAAGACCCUGUCUCUAAAAAAACAAAAAAAAAUUUAUUGAGAGAGAGAGACAGCAAGGCCGGCUGGUCUCGAGGAAGAGAAAUAAACCUCUACAAGAAAACUGCCACACCCUGUUUGAGCCCAACCUGUUCACCCUCAAAGACAGAAUGACGGUCUUCCCCAUCUGUCUGCACUCCUGGCUGUUCACAGGGCACAUCAACAGGGAAAUGCUGUCUGUUCUACUCAUGUCUUACUGGUGACUUCCUGUAGAAAUUCAUGUUAUUGUUUAAAAUAAUUAAUUCUAUAUUUGUUUCUUUGGCAUUUGUGCUUACCAUAUUCUCACAUUUUAUCUGAUCUCCCUGCUUAGAAAAGUGAAAUUGACAUUAUAUUGAGCAUCUCCUCUGCAACAGGCACUGUGAAAUCACAUUAGUCAGAUGUUGUCCAUUAGUUAGACAUUUUUCUAUUAGUUAGAUGUUUUGUCUAUGUUUUAAUGAGAACUUGCUAUCAAAGAACUAACUUCUGUUUUCUUUCCCAGCUUGGCUUGAAGGAGUACUUUAGGACUCAGAACAACAGGAUGAAGACAGCAGCUAAAAUAGAACACACCAGCAGAGACGUUCAGCUCCUUGAGCUGUGCUUCCGAAGCUCAAGCAUGGCAGAGUGGCCUUGUUAAAUCAGAGUUCAGGGUGCCACCCUGACAGUUUCUGAUUCCGUAGGUGCCCAGUAGGGACCAAGAAUCCUUUUUUUUUUUCCUUUUUCUUUUUAAUAGAGUCAGGGUCUUGCUAUGUUGCCCACAUGGGUCUCAAAUUCAAGCGAUCCUCCCACCUCGACCUCCCAAAGCACUGGAAUUCCAGGCAUAAGCCACCGUGCCUGGCCAAGAACGUUUUUUUUUUUAACAAGUUUCUAAAUGAUGCUGGUCUAUUGGUCCUGGGACCACACUUUGAAAUUGGUGGGAUAGGAGGCUGGGAUCUUUAUCCAUUCACUCAACUCCCAUUCCCCAUGGUUGAAAGUUUCCCUGGGGCAUCCCUGGGAGGCCUGGGGGCUGACAAGAUUCAAACGUUUUGGUGAAAAGCCCCAAGACAGUGAAGUGGGGUGUGCUUGAAGUGGGGCACCGUCAUCACCCACCUACCCACCACAGAGGUGAGCUAAAAGGUUACCAGACCGGAGCCUCCAGCAAUCCAGGAGCACAAACAAGGAUGCCUUAAAACAAAACUUGUGUCAGGGUACCCUUCGCUGCCUCAGAGGAAAUCAGAAUGACCUGGUGGACAACUGUUCAUAAGGACAAGAGCCAGUAUCACUGCCUUUGAGUCCCAGCCUCCUCAAAUCCAUUUUCUGCCCUGCACCACCUCAUCAUAUCCCGGAUAUUGUUAGUGUCGUGUCAUUUCAUGACUCAGGAGCUGCGGGUGACUUUGGUAAGAGCGGAGCGGUCGCUGUCUCAUCUGUCACCUCCUCCCUUCACCUCUGUGCAGCCAACGUCCAGGGAGCCUGCCUCUUGCUGUCCUUUUCAAAGCUUUCUGGGUCUCUCCUCUGUGCCUCUGAUCCAGUCUUUCAUGCUGCCCAGAACACUGUCUCUUUCUCCCAUGCCAGUGACAUCCAUUACUUUCUUCAAGGUCUGGCUCAAAACCCAGCACUCAGCCAGGCACGGUGGCUCACACCUGUAAUCCCACCACUUUGGGAGGCCAAAGCAGGCAGAUCACGAGGCCAGGAGAUUGAGACCAUCCUGGCUAACACAGUGAAACCCUGUCCUACUAAAAAUACAAAAAAUUAGACAGGCGUGGUGGCAGGUGCCUGUAGUCCCAGCUACUCGGGAGGCUGAGGCAGGAGAGUGGCAUGAACACGGGAGGCGGAGCUUGCAGUGAGCCAAGAUAGCAUCACUGCACUCCAGCCUGGGUGACAGAGCAAGACUCUGUCUCAAAAAAAAAAAAAACAAAAAACUCAGCACUCUUGGGAAAUUUCCCCUCCAGGGAGACAAGGUCACACAAGGCACAGAGAACCUUGGUGGGAGGCAGAAGCCCUAGGUUUGUUUAUGUCCUGGCUCAGACACUUUGCAGCCUCAUAGAUGACAUUAAACAAGCUCCUUAGCCUGUUAUCUUACUUUGGGCUACCCUAAAAGCAGAGACUAUGAUAUGGACUUGGAUAUGUGUAGUUAAUUUGGGAAGUGAUCCAGGGAAGCCGGAAUGAGGGGUGGGAAGUAGGAAAAAUCAAACAACUAUGUGUCAUUGAGCCCACUGCUCCUGUGGGCUACUGGAGAUCAGUCACACAGGGCACUCUCUGUGAACCGUGUUCAAAGCCCCUCAGAAUUGGCCCCCCAAAGAAUGGGAGGCUGGGAUCUCUAUCUGUUGACUCAACUCCUAUUCCCCAUGGUUGAAGGUUGCCCUGGGGGCACCAUUGGGGGCUGACAAGACUCAAAGGCUUUCGAGAAAAGCCCUGAAACAGUGAAGUGAGGUGUGCUGGAAGUGGAGCACGGUCACCACCCACCUGCGCACCACAGAGGCGGGCUAAGGGUGACGUAUGGCUGACAAAAGUCUUCUGCUCAAUACCUGUCUGUGCCUCAGUUUCUUCCUCUUUAAGAUGGGGUAACUAUCCACAUUUUAGGGUAGCGUCAAAUGACAGAGGUGACAUAUGCGAAGGCCCCUCCCUCAGCACAUGCCAGCCACCCCAGCUCCCUGACUGUGUCCACUCAACACUUACAACUGUUGUAUUCAUCAUGUCUACGUGCAUGUACGGUCCCUCAGUGUUAUCUAUGGCUAUUUCAGGUCUUUUAUCUUAGCUGAAGAUAAGGGCAGGUUCUUCCCUUCUUUUUUGUCACCCAUCCCAAAGUGCCUACCACACAGCUGAAUGCCAAGUAGGUCCUUGGUACAAAUGGGUGUCGAGUGAAUUUGCUGUCCCAAAAAAGUCAUCUGUGAGCCUGUUCUCUUCCACGGAGAUGCCCUGCAAGGCCAUGGAGAAGCCAUAGGGCAGCGUCCUAGCCUGCUUCUUACAGCUGAGAGACCAGCUCCAACAUUGCGUGAGCCCAUUGCCAAACUGCUGGUGAAGUACCAUGCUCUGUGGCAAACACAUGGCAGCUUGGGGAGGGAAGUCUUCUGACGCCCUGAGCCCUGGCAGGGCAAUGGGCAGUAGAUCAAGCUGGCCUGCCCUGCGUGGGCCCUCAGCAGGGAUGCAGGCGAGGCUCCCAGAAGACGAUGACUCAGGCCUGCAUCUGUGACUGGUUAUUCCAGAUGCUGCCCUGCAAUGGGACUGUUCUCUGCUCCCCCCACCCCCGACACCAGUACAGCACGGGAAUGCAUGAGAGUGAGCCUUGGUUUCUUUAGGGGAGUCACUGCGUAAUUGGAGAGCAGUGUUCAUGGGCAAGACAAAGGAGGGCCGGGGCAAGUAAGGGAAGAUGAGAAGAUGAUGUUCCAAACUACUCUCGGUAUAAAAUGUGCUUUGAAUAUUUUGGAUUAUUUUUCCAAUUGUAGAGAGAGUUUUCCCUGAGACACUGGUUCAUCACCAAGUCAGGUGACGCUGGGUCUGGGGCACUCUGCAUCUACAGCCUGGAACACAAUCGUCUUCUCUAGGCAAAACCACGUGACUCACAUGAGGCUCAAAGCUGGACCCUUCUUGCCGUCUAUACCAUACUUAGCAAAGACAACAGGCUUAACUGCUCUGUGAAAAAUGCUAAACAACUUCUCAAAAACAAUAAACAUCUUCUACCUACCUGAAUGUUUACAUUUAGACAGGCCUUUAAGAUUAUUAGUCUCUAUAAAAAUAUACAGGCAUACCUCAGAGAUAAUUCAAGUUCAGUUCCAGGCCACUGCAAUAAAGCAGAUAUCACAAUAAAGCAAGUCACACAAAUUUUGUGGUUCCCCAGUGCUUAUCAAAGCUGUGUUUGCACUAUACUAUAGCCUAUUAAGUGUGCAAUGAUAUUAUGUCUUUUAAAAAAGUACACAUGUUAUUUUAAAAAGACCUUAUUGACAAAAAGUGCUGACAGACACAAAGUGAGCACAUGCUCUUGGGGAAAAUGGCACCGAUAGACUCAUUCGAUGCAGGGUUGCCGUGAAUCUUCAAUUUGUAAAAAACACAAUACCUGCGAAGCAUAAUAAAGUGAAAUGCAAUAAAACAAGGUAUACCUGUAAACAACUCUAAAAUCAGUUAUUUACUCUUUUUUCCCUUCACCUGGAAUUCCUACCUGGUUAUCUCUAACUACAGUAAUCCCAUCCUUAAGAACUUGCUCAAAUGCCCCCUCCUCCAGGAAGUCCUCAUGAUCACCUCCACCCAAAAGAGCUCUUCCCUGGAGACAGAGGGAGGGCAGGCACAAAAAAGACAGUUUGUCUCCUUUAUAGUUUGACCUCACAUAAACUUUGGUGUCCUGGGAAGAAUAAUGCCAACAUUUCCACACUAUACAUGUGGAAAUGGCUUCAAACUCAUAUAAAUCUUUGGUUUAAUAACCAUAUAUAAAUGCAGUUAGAGAGAGGGAGGAUGAGGGAGAUUUAAAAAUAAGAGGCCAACGGAGAGGAGGCUAUUAAACUAUGUGGCAAUGAUUUAUUGAUUGAGAAAUAAAGGGAAUUCCUCUCUGUCUUCUUCUAAAUGAUCGGUUUCCAACUUCUAAACACUCCCAGAUGUGGAAUGCAUGUUUCUUCCUUCCAUUCCUCUCUGCAGGCUGCCCUGACAUUUGUUAAAUUGGCUCCUGGGUCCUGGUUUGCAAAUGUUGCCACUUUGAGAUCCGUAGAUGGUCAUCCCUGGCUCCCUUGGGGAGUGUCCUGGAAUCCACCAGCUCCAUCUGCUCGACAAGAGACUUGAGUUUGUUCUGUUACCUCUUUCAUCAUUAGCCAAAGCUCCGGGACUUGGUUAAAACUUUAGGCAAUUAAAAAGACUGACUUAUGGAGAUAGUAGUGUUUUCACUAUAUCGUCCCUGCUUGAAUUUAUGUUCUUGAAUUCCAUUAACCUGAAAUAUAUCAAAAUACCAAGAUGUUAUGAAGAAUGGGAACAAAUAUAGAAAAGUGAAAA
rnacentral:lncRNA from 1 species